rnacentral:misc_RNA from 1 species
GAUGAAGAACGCAGCGAAUUGCGAUAUGUUAGUGUGAAACGCAGAACAGUGAAUCAUCGAGACUUUGAACGCACCUUGCGCUCUCCGGUCUUCCGGAGAGCAUGCCUGUCUGAGUGUCGCUAAACCCCCAUAGGCCGAAAGGUCUGAUUCGGAUGUGUGCCGUGUCGGCUCCGUCUAAGAUGCAAUCGGAACGUGGCCGGCGCUGCGUCUUCCGGGACAUUUGAUCGUAAUUACCUUCAUGCGUCUCUUUAGGAAGAUGUCGGUCGUUGUGCUCCCCUCUGUGGAAUGCCCUCGUGGCGCCACGGUGUGGUCUCUUUAGUGACGUGGCCUCAGAUCAGGUAGGACUACCCGCUGAACUUAAGCAUAUCAAUAAGCGGAGGA